rnacentral:rRNA from 1 species
GACGAACGCUGGCGGCGUGCCUAAUACAUGCAAGUUGAGCGAUGAAGAUUGGUGCUUGCACCAAUUUGAACAGCAGCGAACGGGUGAGUAACGCGUGGGGAAUCUGCCUUUGAGCGGGGGACAACAUUUGGAAACGAGUGCUAAUACCGCAUAAUAACUUUAAACAUAAGUUUUAAGUUUGAAAGAUGCAAUUGCAUCACUCAAAGAUGAUCCCGCGUUGUAUUAGCUAGUUGGUGAGGUAAAGGCUCACCAAGGCGAUGAUACAUAGCCGACCUGAGAGGGUGAUCGGCCACAUUGGGACUGAGACACGGCCCAAACUCCUACGGGAGGCAGCAGUAGGGAAUCUUCGGCAAUGGACGAAAGUCUGACCGAGCAACGCCGCGUGAGUGAAGAAGGUUUUCGGAUCGUAAAACUCUGUUAGUAGAGAAGAACGUUGGUGAGAGUGGAAAGCUCAUCAAGUGACGGUAACUACCCAGAAAGGGACGGCUAACUACGUG